rnacentral:rRNA from 1 species
CUUUUACAAUGAAGAGUUUGAUCCUGGCUCAGGAUGAACGCUAGCUACAGGCUUAACACAUGCAAGUCGAGGGGCAUCAGGAAGAAAGCUUGCU